rnacentral:rRNA from 1 species
UACGGAGGGGGCUAGCGUUGUUCGGAAUGACUGGGCGUAAAGGGCGCGUAGGCGGUUUCUUAAGUCAGACGUGAAAGCCUUGGGCUUAACCUGAGAAUUGCGUUUGAAACUGGGAGACUUGAGGACGAGAGAGGAAAGUGGAAUUCCGAGUGUAGAGGUGAAAUUCGUAGAUAUUCGGAGGAACAUCAGAGGCGAAGGCGGCUUUCUGGCUCGUCACUGACGCUGAGGCGCGAAAGCGUGGGGAGCAAACAGG